AAGAGAUUGCUUACGUGUUGACACACUCGGCAGAAAUCAGAGCCGUCGGAUUUGUCAUGUAUGACUGUGUAGCUGACACAUUAUGAGCUCUCCUCGCUCUCUCUCUCUUUCUCUCUCUCUCUUUCUCUCUCUUUCUCUUUCUCUCUCUCUCACACGCGCACACACACACAAUCACAAUAGCAGACCAUGCUCAGAGAGAGAGGAUGACAGUCCAAGAAGCUCAGUCAUUCUGGUGCUCACUGGAUAACUUUCUCUUUCGCUCUCUCUCAUCCAUCUACAGCCUCUUUCUCUUUCCUUUUCGGUAUUUCUCAGAAGGCAGCCAGGCUCCGGGAUAGACGGACACGCAGGAUAGACGCCGUAACUAGAGCCUAAUUAGUGGACUCGAAGCAGGUGCUCUGUCGAAUCAGACAGAAAAGGAUUCUCCGGCGGGACGGCUGACCCGCUGAGCUUCAUGAACACAACCAGAAGUCGAUCCGUAUUUGGACGGAAGAUUGGAAGGCGGCCCUGAACGAAUCGAUUUGGUCCUGCUGAGGUCAUACAAGAUACAGAUCACCCCUCCCUCUGCUCUCUGUUUACCACCUGACUUCCACUGCACAGACAGAAACUCUUGGCUGUGUGGGCAUGAAGCAUAAAGUGUGGUUCUGUCAGGGCAGUCAGAGGGGAAAACACUAACCCGGGCAAACGGCGGCCCUCCAGGAGUCACGUCAUUCCAGCACUCGCUCAGAGGGAGUGAAAAAGGAAAGUGUUUACCCAUCCUUGCUGGAAACCUGGAUGGCUAUGUGGAAAGAGGCACAGAGAGGUUAUAUAAACGCCAGCUGAACCAUCCAAGCAAGCUGAAAAGGAGGAAGCAGGAAGCAGCUGAUGCUAUCACUGGUAGUGAUUUUUGAGCAUGUGUCUAUGAAUGUGUCUUUUUUUUGUUGUUGUUGUUGUUUUUGUGUCACUUCCUGGGAGAGAAUAGAAGAGGAAGUGGAGUGACUGGGUGAAGGGAAUGAUACUUCCAUGGUGUGCUUUUCAUACACGCGUACUCGCAAAGACUUAUUUGAAGCGUAGGACGUGUGUGUGUGUGUGUGUGAGUGCAAAUGUCUAUUUGUAUUCGCACAACCAGUGCCUUCUCUGAUUUAUCGCUGAAACACUGCCCCCUUGUGUUUAUACACAGAACUGCAUGCUGCCUUGCAGUAGCAAGGGUUUUUUUUAAAAAAUAUAGUGGCAGCAAAUAAAUAUUUCUAGAUUAAAAUAGCAUUAUAGUUCGAUUUAUUGGCUUCAAAGUUGCUCUGUAGUUUAUAAUACUGAAAUGAUUCAUUAAGAGUGAUUUGAGGUUAGUGUUGGGGUGAAACUGAGGGUGGCAUAACGUAUUUCAGUGCCACACCUGUGGUCACAAACAUGCAUUCAUGCAUCAGUUUGACAGUUUACACCGGGGUAGUCGACAUCUUCGGUUCAACCCAUAGUCCAAAAUAACUCUCCUCAUUACCGUAUCUGACUUAUCUACUGUUUAUUCCCAAAUGCAGUUACUAAUUUAUCCGCCAGACGUUUUUACAGACAUGUAACAUGGCAUCGUUCCACAAGCUCAGUAAAGCACGCGGUCACAAAUGAAUUCAUCCCAGGAAUCAGGUCAUACUCAUUAAGCUUUCAGCACACUUAGUACUGUUUGUCUGGACUCUUCUCCACCUGUAUAAUGAUGUCAACCUAGAAGAAAACGGGCUCGUAUUCGAGUCUGCUUUCUCUCAAGGUUUUCUUUUUUUUUU